rnacentral:lncRNA from 1 species
CACAAAACAACCCAAAACAAGAAAACUGUUAAUGUAAUCUUCAUUAACAAAGAAAAAUGAAAUGACAGAUCAAGUUAACUAUGGGGGAAGGAAGAAGAGAAAAAAUAAUUGAAUUUAUCAAUCCAAAUCUUCUGGUCAGUGAAGAGAAUCUGAAAUUGAACACAGGAUGAAAAUGGAGAACUAAGAGGAAAUUUCAACAAAGCUUCAUGCUGAUACAAAAUUCAUAUUUAACUACGUGUCUUGUCUUCAUCAGAGAAUAACCACAUCCUUUUCCAGGGAGAAGCAGGAAAAACAGCCAGAAGUGAAGGAAAGAUGGAGCCAAGGUGGAUGCUCCGUGCUGCUGACAUCAUGAGCAGAGCUGCCCCAGCCCUGGGGACGUCCCUCUGCCCUCAGCACCGCAGCAGCAGCGUGGGCUUUGCUGGUUCUCCUGGCCCUUUUCUUCCUUACCCAGGAAAACAGCUCAGGCCGUGGCUCAGAAAGAGCCUCUCGUUGCCUCCCAAUUAAUUGCGCAGCCGAGUCUGUGCUCUUUGAUGUCACUGCUGUGAGCGCUGAUAAAAUUUGAGGAGCUUUAGAGCAUGGAAGUUGCCGCAGACAGUUUUUCUUGUUGCUUGUGUGUCAAUACCCUAUCGAGUCAGCAAUUAUCCUAAACACUUACUGCAAGCCAAUGCAAAAUAAAGGAAAAUUUUCUCAGUAAUCAUUUUUUAUAAGACUCUUCCACUGCAUCCCGCUCCCCAUGCAAAUUCAUGUGUGCUUGCUGGCUCUUAUAGAAUUCUUGGAAUUACUGUGCAGAAAUGUUCUUACAGCCAGACACUCCAAAAACUUCAGCAUUUGGACAGGAAGGACACGUCCAUCCACAGACACCUAUGACC